rnacentral:rRNA from 1 species
CGUCGCCGCGGGAAUACAGAGGGUGCGAGCGUUAAUCGGAUUUACUGGGCGUAAAGCGUGCGUAGGCGGCUUUUUAAGUCGGAUGUGAAAUCCCUGAGCUUAACUUAGGAAUUGCAUUCGAUACUGGGAAGCUAGAGUAUGGGAGAGGAUGGUAGAAUUCCAGGUGUAGCGGUGAAAUGCGUAGAGAUCUGGAGGAAUACCGAUGGCGAAGGCAGCCAUCUGGCCUAAUACUGACGCUGAGGUACGAAAGCAUGGGGAGCAAACAGGAUUAGAUACCCCCGUAGUCCCUGUCUCUAUACAC